AUCGCUUCUCGGUCUCUAUGGCUCAGAUCAAGUGUCUGGUCUUCUCCGUUUAAUCUCCGGUGUGUUCUCCAGGCGAGAGCUUCAUAUUAAAUGGAGUUUUGGAACAGGGAGCGGGAUGAGGAGCUCGCUCCGUCCGCUCCACGCAUCAGCCCGGUGUUGCGGCGCUGCCGGGCGCGGUGCCCUUCCC